rnacentral:rRNA from 1 species
CAGUCGCCGCGGUAAUACGAAGGUCCCGAGCGUUGUUCGGAAUCACUGGGCGUAAAGGGAGCGUAGGCGGCGUGGUAAGUCAGAUGUGAAAUCCCGGGGCUCAACCCCGGAACUGCAUCCGAUACUGCCAUGCUAGAGGAUUGGAGAGGUAGCUGGAAUUCUUGGUGUAGCAGUGAAAUGCGUGGAGAUCAAGAGGAACACUCGUGGCGAAAGCGAGCUACUGGACAAUAACUGACGCUGAGGCUCGAAGGCCAGGGUAGCGAAAGGGAUUAGAUACCCCCGUAGUCCCUGUCUCUUAUAC